rnacentral:tRNA from 1 species
GCGCGGUGUACACUUAGUAUGCGGCGGAUUGCUAAUCCGCUGCCCGAGAGGGCGCCCGGGUUCAAGUCCCGGCCCCGGCGCCA